rnacentral:rRNA from 1 species
AAAGGAAUAGACGGGGGCCCGCACAAGCAGCGGAGCGUGUGGUUUAAUUCGAGGCUACACGAAGAACCUUACCUAGGUUUGCAUGGUAACGAACGAGGGUGAAAGCCUGAGGUUCGCAAGACGUUACCACUGGUGCUGCAUGGCUGUCGUCAGCUCGUGUCGUGAGAUGUUAGGUUAAGUCCUGUAACGAGCGCAACCCCCGGAAGUAGUUACACGUAGUCUACUUCAACUGCCUGCGCAAGUGGGAGGAAGGUGGGGAUGACGUCAAGUCAGCAUGGCCUGUAUAUCUAGGGCUACACACACGCUACAAUGGUCGGUACAACAGGUUGCCAAGCCGCAAGGCGGAGCUAAUCCUCUAAAGCCGAUCUCAGUUCAGAUUGUGGGCUGCAACCCGCCCACAUGAAGUCGGAGUUGCUAGUAACCGUGCGUCAGCUAUAGCGCGGUGAAUACGUUCCCGGGCCUUGUACACACCGCCCGU